GUGGCGAACGGGUGAGUAACACGUGAGCAAUCUGCCCUUGACUCUGGGAUAACUGCGGGAAACUGUAGCUAAUACCGGAUACUUUCCUCGCUGGGCAUCCAGCGGGGAAGAAAGAAUUUCGGUCAAGGAUGAGCUCGCGGCCUAUCAGCUAGUUGGUGAGGUAAUGGCUCACCAAGGCGACGACGGGUAGCCGGCCUGAGAGGGUGACCGGCCACACUGGAACUGAGACACGGUCCAGACUCCUACGGGAGGCAGCAGUGGGGAAUAUUGCACAAUGGGCGAAAGCCUGAUGCAGCAACGCCGCGUGAGGGAUGAAGGCCUUCGGGUUGUAAACCUCUUUUAGCAGGGAAGAAGCGAAAGUGACGGUACCUGCAGAAAAAGCACCGGCUAACUACGUGCCAGCAGCCGCGGUAAUACGUAGGGUGCAAGCGUUGUCCGGAAUUAUUGGGCGUAAAGAGCUCGUAGGCGGCUUGUCACGUCUGCUGUGAAAAUCCGAGGCUCAACCUCGGACUUGCAGUGGGUACGGGCAGGCUAGAGUGCGGUAGGGGAGAAGGGAAUUCCUGGUGUAGCGGUGGAAUGCGCAGAUAUCAGGAGGAACACCAAUGGCGAAGGCACCUCUCUGGGCCGUAACUGACGCUGAGGAGCGAAAGCGUGGGGAGCGAACAGGAUUAGAUACCCUGGUAGUCCAC
rnacentral:rRNA from 1 species